rnacentral:rRNA from 1 species
GUGAGGAAUUUUCCGCAAUGGGCGAAAGCCUGACGGAGCAAUGCCGCGUGAAGGAUGAAGGCCUAUGGGUUGUAAACUUCUUUUCUCAGAAAAGAAUUAUGACGGUAUCUGAGGAAUAAGCAUCGGCUAACUCUGUGCCAGCAGCCGCGGUAAGACAGAGGAUGCAAGCGUUAUCCGAAAUGAUUGGGCGUAAAGCGUCUGUAGGUUGUUUAAAAAGUAUUCUGUCAAAGAUUAGGGCUUAACCCUAGAUAGGCAGAAUAAACUUUUAAGCUAGAGUUUGGUAGAGGCAGAGGGAAUUCCCGGUGGAGCGGUGAAAUGCGUAGAUAUCGGGAGGAACACCAAAGGCGAAGGCACUCUGCUGGGCCAAUACUAACACUGAGAGACGAAAGCGAGGGGAGCAAAUGGGAUUAGAUACCCGGGUAGUCC